AUGCAUACCUCGUGACCAUCUUCGUGUAUCGCGGGUGUUUUAUUCCCACUCCCCUAAACAAUUAAGCUGAGAAAUUAUUUGUAACUAAGCAGCCGGUUUGUUUUAUCUCAAGUCAUUGCAGUUGCAUGAGUUAUAGUUUUCAUAACUGAAUACUUGGAGUGCUGGAUGUCGACAUGCUUCUUAUCCUAGUACUAUGUACUCUGGCCGCUGCUAAGUCCGUGGAAAACACGUUCGACGAUAUUACAAGACAAUGGGAGCUCAGAGAAGACGCUGGCAACGCACAACCGGCAGCCAAGGCAACCAGGGUAGACAGGCCGGUAUCUAUGGCUACCAACAAAGCAGCCAAUGACAAUAGAAUGCCUUACAAGAAACACCAAUUUAAACGAAAAUACGACAUACUUCAAACAUGCUACAGUGGGGACCUCUACGAGACCGUAAAAGCACUGGGCGUAUUCAAAAUCCCAGGCAUCAAGAUGGUUAAAGUGUCUGGUGAACUUUAUCAGCUGUUGCUAAAGAACCAUACCGUCAAACUGACACUAGAGCAAAGCAAGAUGUACGAAGUCGACAUGACUAGCUUAAGCGAAAGCUACGACAUUCCCAGAGCUGUGAAUUCAGAUUCUAGCAUAACAAAGCGUGCAACUGACAUAUGCGAGGAAGACGCCGGCGUUUUGAUUAUUCUGGCUCAUGCUAGCGGACAAUUUGCUUACGUGGCUACCGACUAUGGUUGUGCAAGCUCGGUUUGUUCCUAUCAAAAUGUUGCAAUCGGUUCUUGUCAGAAAAAAAUUCAGACGUUUUUGAUUUGGCUUGUGAAUGUAAAUGGGGACUUUAUAUCUAAUACAGUUGAAAUAGGUUGUGCAUGCGAAUGUAUUGUAUAAAGAUUGGACUACGACUGGGAAUCGGGGGGGGGGGGGGGGUGGUAACUCCCUUGUAUUUAGGAUGGAUACGACGAUCAUCCCUGCCCAACGAUAUAAGGGAGACCUCCCCCAACCCCCCCGGGAUUGAUGCUGUAUUGUAGAUUGUUACUAAAAAAGUCAUUCAUUUUAUAAUUUCACGAGUUGUUGAAUAUUGUGGGAAAAACUAUUGUAAAAACUAACGAAAGCGAAUGUUCGGGUUAAUAAAGUCAAAAUAGUCUAGGUUGAUGUAUCUGAGUCUGCAAAUGUAAAUCUAACGUGUUGAUAAGAGACCGGUGAAGAAAGAAGUUCAGUUCAACUUCCUAAAUGUUGUAAAUCUCACUGAAAGCUAGAUGGAGAGUAAAACAAUGAAUGAGUGAAAAAACAAAUAAAAAUAAAUAAAACGAAAAAAAGGAAGAGCGAAAAAGCGCAAAAAAUAAAUACACAAAGAAAGAAUGAAGGAGCUUUCCUGAGGAAGAUAAGAAUGUAAAACAGUCAAUUUCCGUAUCUAAUUCUUGAAGAUUGUAAAUGAAAUGAAAGACAGUAAAACGUGAGGGAAUGGAGGCCACAAAAAAGGAUGUUACUGUUCAAAGACAAAGGAAAACAUUUCGCGAUAGACAAACAAUGCUCAAGCAACUUAGAUAUGUCAUGUGACAGGAAGUCACUGUAUCUAGAGUGAAAGCCGCCUUACAACGUCCGACGUCUAGUUUGUAGAGUGACACGAUGUCACUAGUAAAAUAACUCAAGCUCUUUAGGCAGCUUUGCUGAUCGGUAGUAGUAGAGCUCAUGAGAACAGGGAACGGACUGAGACACCACAAAGCAAUUUGUUCAACGAUGGCAGUUAAGACAUUGUUAGCUACAGUCUUAAUAAUAGCCAGCACAUGUCCUUUAACCUCAGCUGAAGACGAAACUAUCUCGAAGAGGCUACUAUCAAACAUCUUCAAAUAUGAUUCUUCCACUAGCAAUAGUUCUACAGUUAACGCGAAGAUUCUUGGGAUGGAUGUUGCACCUCCUGAUACCUGGAGCCCAGACGCAAAACUMUUCUUUUUCACUGUCAAAAAAUUUGGGUUAUUUAAACUUAAAAAUCUGCAUCUUAUCAAAAUUAACAAUUCGAUGGUUAAAACCCUGGAGUUGAAUAACAGAAGUAUCACUAUGAGAAACGGCCAGACGACRAAAAAGAAAAGACAAUUUCAUGAAUUUUGUUUGGAACGAGUAGUUAAGACAAUUGUUUUAGCCCAUGCUAGCGAGCAGCUAGCUUAUUCUAUUGAUGAAAUCGAAUGCCACGGGAAGUGCCACUCAAAUUUUCUUAAGGUAUCUUUAGGAGAGUGUAUCCUAAGAAAAAAGACAAUGAUUGUCUACAUACAGAAUAGUAAGGGUGCAUUUAAAGCUCAAACAGUCCAGACAGGAUGUGCAUGCGAAUGCUUGCACUUUGCACGAUUUCAAUAGUGUAACAUCUAAAAAUAAAGAAAAAAUAUUUCUUUACUUAAAGCAUUCUUUUGUAGCUGAAAAAUAUACUUAUCUAAACCGAGUUACUGCAAGAUGAAGGAAGAAGGUAUUUUAAAUUUUAAGUAAAAAUAAAACGAAUUACAUAAUAUAUCUU